rnacentral:rRNA from 3 species
AAACGACUCUCGGCAACGGAUAUCUCGGCUCACGCAUCGAUGAAGAACGUAGCAAAAUGCGAUACUUGGUGUGAAUUGCAGAAUCCCGUGAACCAUCGAGUUUUUGAACGCAAGUUGCGCCCAAAGCCAUCCGGCCGAGGGCACGCCUGCCUGGGCGUCACGC